CAGGAAGUCUUGAUAAUUACUCAGGUGUGAGCACUCAGGAUUUGUUGGCAGUCUGGGUGCGAGAAGAGUACAGAGUCUUUCAAAUAGCUUUUAAAAAAUAUUUUGGGAUUGUGCAUAUUUAUUUUGUCAACGACCAAGUGGUCAAGAGCUGGCCCUGAACUCGAAGCAGUGUAAAUUCAGAUGCAUAGAUUAAACCAAGGAAUCAUCUUUUAAAGAAGCAUUCUCUACGCCCUGACUGGUUAGUCUUCUCUACACUCUGAUACUACUACCCUGGUGUGACCUGAGGCUCAGCCGACGUCAUGGCUAUCUCUCCUACCGUAACCCUCCACCUGGACGAUGGUGUGGAGCGUGGCCUGGACCUGCAGUCCUGUGCUGUCCAGCUGUGUAAAGGACAUGGUCACUGUGUGGCUCAGGGACAGGCCACCACCUGUGAGUGUAUCCUGGGGUACAGAGGAGAGUUCUGCCAUGAGAGUGUCAAUGAGGCAAUCGGUGUUCCGCUCACCCUGGGGGUAGUGGCCUUUAUCGUUGGCAUCCUCAUCCUCUCCUUCCUCGUUGCAUUCAUCAGGCAGAGGGUCAAGGUCAAAAGGAAAGCUGCAGCCAAGGAUUCAAGUGGUUUAGAAAAAGACAUUCUGUAGCAUCAAGGUUUGGUUGACGGUCCAACAUCAGAGCACAUCCCCUUCAUCAGGCUUUAUCCCCGGUAUAAACAAUUAUAUACUGUAGUACUAUUUAUGUAAACAACUAUUUACUGUAGUACUCUUCAUAUGAACUACAUGCGUUAGUGUUAACUACUAUACCAUAGCACUACUUAUAUAAACAACUAUGCUGUGGUACUAAUAGAAAUCCAUAUAUGGUGGGACGACUCGUGAAAAGUAAGGACUGUUUUUGGCGAUAGCUGUGUUCGAAUACUAACAAACUGUAUACUACAUACUUAAUAAGUGUAUAUUACAUACUAUAUACUGUUUGUUGAUUUUUAGUAUACUGUAAAUGACCGGUAUCCUGUAGCACUUUGCCUGUCUAUCUGUAGUUGAUGCUGUUGCUAUGCAACUUCUUGUUAGCAUAGCUAACAAAUUAAUAGCUACAUUUACAUUUACAUUUAAGUCAUUUAGCAGACGCUCUUAUCCAGAGCGACUUAGCUAGACGUUUUAUGACUUCAUUGAGAACCCACAACGGCUAUACCACUUAGCUAAGCCAAGAAUAAUCAAGCCAAUAAAUGUUGGGUAGUUAGCAUAUAGUUAAUAUACUGGCAAGUUUGUAUUAGUAACUAGCUAACAUGCAGUACCUACAAGCAACUGCUGUAAUGAUACGCUAUGCAGUUCUAUGCUAACAAACUGUCAGCGAACGUAACGUAUUUGAAAAGUCGUUACUCCAGAGUGGUGCAGUGGUCUAAGGCACUGCAUCUCAGUGCUAAAGGUGUCACUACCGACCCUGGUUCGAUUCCAGGCUGUAUCACAACCGAACGUGAUUAGGAGUCCCAUAGGGCGGCGCACAAUUGGCCAGGGUCGUUAGGGUUUGGCCAGGGUAGGCCGUCAUUUAAAAAAAAUAAUUUGUUCUCAACUGAUUUGCCUAGUUAAACCCCAAUAUUAAAGGUUACAUAAAAAUUACAUUUCUCAACAAUUUCCUUCCGUUUGAGCCUGGCCUGACUGGCUUACCUCCUUUAGAGCCUGACUGGCUUACCUCCUUUAGAGCCUGACUGGCUUACCUCCUUUAGAGCCUGACUGGCUUACCUCCUUUAGAGCCUGACUGGCUUACCUCCUUUAGAGCCUGACUGGCUUACCUCCUUUAGAGCCUGACUGGCUUACCUCCUUUAGAGCCUGACUGGCUUACCUCCUUUAGAGCCUGACUGGCUUACCUCCUUUAGAGCCUGACUGGUUUACCUCCUUUAGAGCCUGACUGGCUUACCUCCUUUAGAGCCUGACUGGCUUACCUCCUUUAGAGCCUGACUGUUAGUGUUGUCUGACUCAGGACAAAUGAUUGAAAGAGAAGUGAUUGAAAGACACACCUAAGCAGUGGAAACAUAUAACACGUUUUCUCCAAAACAUGACAGGAAUUUCAACGCUGGUAAACCAGUCAGUCCAACAGUGUUUUUCAUUGGCAACAGAAAGCAUCCGCUGGGGAUUGAGGUUUGAAAAUAAACACUGUUCUAUACAGGCUGUAGUGUUCGUCAAAACAGGUUUCGUCUUGCAUGCUUAGGAUUGCAUGACUAUCCCUAUUGUGCUGCUGAGUGCCUUAGAUCAAAGUGAAGUUUACUGUCCAACAUCAGAGCUUGGCCUUUUCAUUGGCUCCAUCCCUGGUACAUGUAUAAAUAACUAUAUAUAGUAGUACUAUUCAUAUAAACAACUAAAUAAUUAUAUACGUGACUACUGUAUACUGUAUACUGAAGUACUAUUCAUAUAAACAACUAUAUACUGUAGUACUAUUCAAAUAAACAACUAUAUACUGUAGUACUAUUCAUCUAAACAACUAUAUACUGUAGUACUAUUCAUAUAAACAACUAUAUACUGUAGUACUAUUCAUAUAAACAACUAUAUACUGUAGUACUAUUCAUAUAAACAACUAUAUACUGUAGUACUAUUCAAAUAAACUACAUGCGCUAGUACUACUAGUGUUAACUACUAUACAAUAGGACUUCUUAUAUAAACAUAUGCUGUGGUACUAAUAUAAAACCACAUGGUGGGACUACUCGUAUAAAGGACUGGUUUGUUUUUGGUUACGUCUUUAUACUGACUAACUUUAUACUUUUUUUCUGGGAAACCAAAGCCUCGACCAGCAACAGCUUUUCUCACACUGAUCCUGGCCUGUCUAGUUUAUAUGGUGAUACAUGCUGUUAUGACUGAUUAGUGUGGUGAUGCACUCUGUUGCCUGACUGGUUUGUGCUGCUUGUGGCUGUAUUGCUUGUGGUUUGUUGUCUGACUUGCUUGUGGCUGUGUUGUCUGACUGUUGCCUGACUGGUUUGUGCUGCGUGUGGCUGUGUUGUCUGACUGGUUUGUGCUGCGUGUUGUUGUUGCCUGACUGGUUUGUGCUGCUUGUGGCUGUGUUGCCUGACUGGUUUGUGCUGCUUGUGGCUGUGUUGCCUGACUGGUUUGUGCUGCUUAUGGUUGUGUUGCUUGUGGUUUGUGUUAACACUAAGUCAGGCAACACAAAAUCAGUUAUCUCUGACUCAUUAGUGACUAAUAGACCUAAGCAAUGGCAACAUUCAGUUGCUCCAAAACAUGACAAGAAUUCCAACUGAGCUUUUCAUUGGCCACAAAAUAUACACUGUAUACAAGUCUGGUCCCCUCGCUGAUAUAAUUUUCUCUUGUAACUGUAAACUCAAGUGAGUUUGUCUCCAUUUCAAACUGCUCCAGUCUCUCUCCCUCUAGAGGUUGGUGAGAACAUAAUGGAAGCCUGUCCAGUCAUGGACCUUCGGAUCAUACAACCGCCUUGUUAAUUCCAUGUGGAUAAAAUGCUAUUAUGUUCUUGAAUAAUUAUUGUUGACUCAUUGCAAACAAAAUAUUUUAUCCAUUGUAUUUUUUUUAAGCUUUGUUCUUGUAUCUGAAUUUUGGAUAUGCUUAAACCUGGGCAAAUUCACAUUAAAACACUGUUUACUUCUGUGUGA